CUGAAAGAUGCUGGAACUUGAGCAGGACCGGGGGUUCUGAGGGGAGCCAGGGGCACUGAGGGUCACAGGAUUUGUCUGAAGGGAGCCUGCAGCUCGAGCCAGAUGUGCAAUCCUGACACAGAUCAGAGCACACACAGGUAAUGGUUGCAAAAACACACUUAGCUCCUUCUCAGUGUUACCACAACUCAACACCUCCCAAAAGUCCAGAGCCUUACUCAGACCAUGGCACGCUUUGCCUGGGACACAGCUGAAAUAUUCCAAAUACAAUGCACAAGAAGCAUUCAUCUCUGGGAUAAAUCUCACUUAGUGAAGUUUUUGGAACCAGUACAGUCAUGUCUUGGUAACAUGAAGAAAAUCAACAGAGAGAGCAGCCAGAUUCCCUUAAAAUGAUGUUUGGGAUACAAGUGGGCUUGUUGCCUUGCUCCUCCUGGAAGCAUCUCCUUUGGAGAGACUGAAUGUGGUAAAAUGUAAAAGGCUGCAGCACUUCCUGUGUUAAAAAAGCUGAUUUUUAAUGACCUGCUCUAUUACCAUCCCAGCAGACUGGGGUUUGUAUGUGCAGCUGGGAAUCUAUUUUUGUGCUCUGCAUGAGUAUUGGGGCAGGUUUCAGGGUUGGGACCUCAGAGAAGUAAAUCAAAACUAAAUCAAAACUCUGCUUAAGGACUCUAACUGUCUCCUGUGGAGCUUAAAGUCUCUUUUUAUUACUGGAAUGCUUUUUCACAGAACUGGAAGUUUAGUGUUUCUGAGGCUUUCCUAAGUGAGGGCAAGAGUUAUUACAGUAAAGGUAUAAUAUCAUUCUUUAUUACAGUUUUUUAUACCAUCCAGCUAACUUUCCUGAAUUCAUUGAUUAUUAUUUUCUCUGCUGAAACAGAUUCUGUUAUUAAUGGUUUGUAUCUUUUCAUGCCAGGCUGGAGGGGGCUUGGAACAACCUGGACUAGUGGAAGGCGUCCCUGCUGGUGCCAAGGCCAGCUGAAGGAUGAUAUUUUCCUUACUGGGACACAUGCCAUGUUCGUCUCCCGUACUUUUCUGGAAGACACCAACAUUUUCUCGUUUAUCCCCGCAGAGGUGGCAGCGCCGAUGCCCCGUUCAGGCUGGAAUGCCGAGGCUGCCUGCCCUCCUGACCCUGGGAGGGGUGCGGCAGUGCCAUUCGUGUCCCGCUGUCCCCGUCCUGCCCUUCCUGCAGCGCGCUGGGCGUGGGACGGGCGCCGAGAAUGGCGUGGGAGCGCAGGAAGCGCCGAUCAGGGCAAGGCGAGCGGGGAUGGCCCGUGAGGAGCCUCUGGUGCAGGAUGUCGGCAGGGUGCGGUGCGGUGGGAGCUGCUCCUGCUCACGCUGCCCAGGGAAGGAGAUGAACCCGCCCUGCGCGGGGGUUUCACACUCACAGCCUCGGUGCCUUCCAUGCUGGGGGAGUUUGAUAAACAAAGGAGCCAGGACAUUCUGGGAAGCUCCCAAGGUUUGCAUCACACUUCUGCCACAGCUGACUUGGACCCUCUGGAGCUGGAAGCGAGGCUUGGUGCAGGCAGUGGCUCUGAAAAGCAUUCUGAGGAUUUCCAGUAACCAGGUAAUUGAAGCAGACUGAGCACCCUGACAGCAGGAAAGGCAGCCUUAACCAGCAGGAGGAUGGGGGAGCCCAGCUGAACAUUUGGAUGUAAAAAUCUGGUGAAAUCUCAGCUUUUCCAAAGCUCAGUGUGGGCAGUGUGGUGCUUUUCAUGAGUGUGGAGUGCCUGGCCAGUGUUGAUCCUGUACAAGCUCCAAGGGAAGGGUGAGAGCUGUGAGCUCAGCGUGGUUUGAUCCAUCCAGCAGCUGCCCAAGGGACUUCCAGACAUGCCAGGCUCCAGGAGCAGCUUGUGGAGAGCAGCAGAGGGGCACAGAAUAAAAUUCCACAACUCUGGAGGCA
ensembl:lncRNA